rnacentral:rRNA from 2 species
UGGUUACCAGGAUUAUUGGGCGUAAGCGCGCGCAGGCGGUUUCUUAAGUCUGAUGUGAAAGCCCACGGCUCAACCGUGGAGGGUCAUUGGAAACUGGGGAACUUGAGUGCAGAAGAGAAAAGCGGAAUUCCACGUGUAGCGGUGAAAUGCGUAGAGAUGUGGAGGAACACCAGUGGCGAAGGCGGCUUUUUGGUCUGUAACUGACGCUGAGGCGCGAAAGCGUGGGGAGCAAACAGGAUUAGAUACCCUGGUAGUCCACGCCGUAAACGAUGAGUGCUAAGUGUUAGAGGGUUUCCGCCCUUUAGUGCUGCAGCUAACGCAUUAAGCACUCCGCCUGGGGAGUACGGUCGCAAGACUGAAACUCAAAGGAAUUGACGGGGGCCCGCACAGGGCGGUGGAGCAUGUGGUUUUAAUUCGAAGCACCGCAAAAAACC